CCUACGGGUGGCAGCAGUGAGGAAUAUUUGUCAAUGGACGAGAGUCUGAACCAGCCAAGUAGCGUGAAGGAUGACUGCCCUAUGGGUUGUAAACUUCUUUUAUAUGGGAAUAAAAUGUUCCACGUGUGGGAUUUUGUAUGUACCAUAUGAAUAAGGAUCGGCUAACUCCGUGCCAGCAGCCGCGGUAAUACGGAGGAUCCGAGCGUUAUCCGGAUUUAUUGGGUUUAAAGGGAGCGUAGGUGGAUUGUUAAGUCAGUUGUGAAAGUUGGCGGCUCAACCGUAAAAUUGCAGUUGAAACUGGCAGUCUUGAGUACAGUAGAGGUGGGCGGAAUUCGUGGUGUAGCGGUGAAAUGCUUAGAUAUCACGAAGAACUCCGAUUGCGAAGGCAGUUCACUGGACUGCAACUGACACUGAGGCUCGAAAGUGUGGGUAUCAAACAGGAUUAGAUACCCGUGUAGUC
rnacentral:rRNA from 1 species